rnacentral:sRNA from 1 species
UUGUCAUUGCAAAACAUGAAAAUUGAUUUUACAAAAUGUGACAUUACAAGUUUUCUUGUACAAAAAAAAAUUUCCCCAACUUAACAAAAAAAAAAAAAAAAAAACAAAAAUCAAAAACAACCACCCAUCUAUAUUAGCAGCAAUAAAAUUAAGUUGAACAAACGCUAAUGGAAUGAUAACAAAACCCAUUCAUAUUGCACAAAUAGACAGCGGCAUCGGACAGACAGCGACAUUCAUACCAAGGAUGACCAUACGUAUGCAAAAUCCAUGGAAAUAUCAAACAACCGGUCAUUCGGUCUCAUCUUAAGGCACAAUAUGAGUAUUUAAUCAAAAUUAAUUGCUGAAAUGCGGAUUUUGCUUCUUCUUUUUCAUUUCUAAUUGACAUUUAACUCAGAGAAUGUAUGGACGUUUGAUGAAUGGCGAUGGGACGCGUUGCUGAGUUGGAUAGACCAAAUAAUGGACAGGCAUGGUCUGUAGAAAUGAAUAGAAAAAACGCUUACAUUUUAUGAGAUUGUUGAUACAGCAGAAGAAUAAAAUCUAUUCGCAGAAAAAAUGUUUUCAAUGCAAGUUUAAAUAAAGCGUUUUGAAUGUCUACGUGUGAGUGAAAGGUGGGGCUUUUACACAGAAUUUGAUUAUGAAGAUGGGGAUAUGUAUGACCAAGGAAUAUAAUAAUAUAGUAAAAUAUACGAUCAGUAUGGAAAAAAAUAUAAUUGGCUAUUGAGGCCAUAAGCUAAUAUGACACUUCAUUUCUUUUAAUUUCAUUCCAUUUCAU